rfam:Triticum aestivum genome assembly, contig: Triticum_aestivum_CS42_TGACv1_scaffold_002353_1AL
UAAGUACUCCCUCCGUCCGGAAAUACUUGUCAUCGAAAUGGAUAAAGAGGGAUGUAUCUAGAACUAAAAAUAUAUCUAGAUACAUCCCCUUUUAUUCAUCUUGAUGACAAGUAUUUUCGGACGGAGGGAGUAGUUA